rnacentral:rRNA from 1 species
GAGUUGCGAACGGGUGAGUAACGCGUAGGUAACCUGCCUGGUAGCGGGGGAUAACUAUUGGAAACGAUAGCUAAUACCGCAUAAUAGUAGUUGUUGCAUGACAACUGUUUGAAAGGUGCAAUUGCAUCACUAAGAGAUGGACCUGCGUUGUAUUAGCUAGUUGGUGAGGUAACGGCUCACCAAGGCGACGAUACAUAGCCGACCUGAGAGGGUGAUCGGCCACACUGGGACUGAGACACGGCCCAGACUCC